GAUGAACGCUGGCGGCGUGCCUAAUACAUGCAAGUCGAGCGAACAGACGAGGAGCUUGCUCCUCUGACGUUAGCGGCGGACGGGUGAGUAACACGUGGAUAACCUACCUAUAAGACUGGGAUAACUUCGGGAAACCGGAGCUAAUACCGGAUAAUAUAUUGAACCGCAUGGUUCAAUAGUGAAAGACGGUUUUGCUGUCACUUAUAGAUGGAUCCGCGCCGCAUUAGCUAGUUGGUAAGGUAACGGCUUACCAAGGCAACGAUGCGUAGCCGACCUGAGAGGGGGAGCGGCCACACUGGAACUGAGACACGGUCCAGAAUCCUACGGGAGGCAGCAGUAGGGAAUCUUCCGCAAUGGGAGAAAGCCUGACGGAGCAACGCCGCGUGAGUGAUGAAGGUCUUCGGAUCGUAAAACUCUGUUAUUAGGGAAGAACAAAUGUGUAAGUAACUAUGCACGUCUUGACGGUACCUAAUCAGAAAGCCACGGCUAAAUACGUG
rnacentral:rRNA from 1 species